rnacentral:rRNA from 1 species
GAUGAACGCUGGCGGCGUGCCUAAUACAUGCAAGUCGAGCGAAUGGAUUAAGAGCUUGCUCUUAUGAAGUUAGCGGCGGACGGGUGAGUAACACGUGGGUAACCUGCCCAUAAGACUGGGAUAACUCCGGGAAACCGGGGCUAAUACCGGAUAACAUUUUGAACCGCAUGGUUCGAAAUUGAAAGGCGGCUUCGGCUGUCACUUAUGGAUGGACCCGCGUCGCAUUAGCUAGUUGGUGAGGUAACGGCUCACCAAGGCAACGAUGCGUAGCCGACCUGAGAGGGGGAUCGGCCACACUGGGACUGAGACACGGCCCAGACUCCUACGGGAGGCAGCAGUAGGGAAUCUUCCGCAAUGGACGAAAGUCUGACGGAGCAACGCCGCGUGAGUGAUGAAGGCUUUCGGGUCGUAAAACUCUGUUGUUAGGGAAGAACAAGUGCUAGUUGAAUAAGCUGACACCUUGACGGUACCUAACCAGAAAGCCACGGCUAACUACGUGCCAGCCGCCGCCGCCG